rnacentral:misc_RNA from 1 species
GAGGACAACUCUUCUUGCUAUAUCAUGCAUGAUUGCAAAGAUCAGUGAAAUGUUUAUAGGAAUGAAAAAUAUAAAAAAUUAUUAGUUAACAUGGUGUUCAAUUGGAACUUGUGGAAAUUUUAGUUUCAUCAAGAACAGGUUUAUUAAUUUGGAUACAAAAAUAAUCUGUACAUAUUUCUAUAUACUUGUUUUCUCGCGUACCUAACUAGAGUAAUUAGGUCACUUUCUAUCGGGUGCCAUUUAGUGACAUUUGCUUCAAUAUUUUUUUUUUUUAUCUUUGUACAGAUCUCAGUUGGCUAUUUUCUGGC